GAAGCCAAAAGAAAACUUUGCAUUUUAGAUUGAAUACGAGCCCUGACUUAUGGCUUGAAAUAACUAUUUUAACAUGAAGAUAAUGGUAGAUGGCCUUUUGUAAUCCGGAUCAUCGAACUACUUAUAGCAGAGGUGGUUGCGCAUGUCCAUAGCCUCUUUAAUUAAGUCUAUGGGUGACACCUGAGCAAGGGACUCCCGUAGACAUAAAAAAAAGGUACUUGCAUACUUCUCUUGGCUAUAUGAGAUCACUGAAUCAGGGAAACCAAGAGGUAAGGAUCCUAGAGGUACUAAUCCAUUAAUUGGCCACCGGUGAACAGGAAAUCUAAAUUGAAAUUUGAACUUUCGUUGAGAGACGCGAGUCCUGUUUGGACAAAACAACUCUGCAAGAACCUGCGCCCCCCACUGAGAUUAUUUGUGGAACAUGGAACUUAAUACAGAACAUUUUCUGUAUUGAAGGUUUUAUUUCCUCAUUUUCUGUUUUGAGCCAUUGUUUAGAGGACUUCCAACCACCCGCAGUCCUGAUUAUUGUCAUUGCAAUCCUUUGGUGGAGCUCAGUUAUUUGGACACAGUUCUGGAUGCUCCCACCUACCAACAUCUCUUUCUGGAUUGGGAUUGUACACUUCUCUACGUCAUGUUAGUUAGUUUUGUAGUUUACAUUGUUCCCUCAUUUCACAGGCCCUCUUGCCAGCAUAGGGUAGGCAUAGGCAACCUUCAGCACUGCAGAUGUUUUGGACUACAUCUCCCAUGAAUCCUUGGCAGCAUUUUGGCUGUAAAAGCAUCAUGGGAGUCUAAACCAUCUUCUGUGCUGUAGGUUGCCUAUGCCUGAUCUAGGAGGGACAGAAGUAUCCAGCCGGAAAUAUAAGUAGUGGAAUAGAAAGGUAAAGGUCUCUGAGCCCAGAUCAAUAUGGAACAAUCAAACUGAGUUGACCUGCACUAGAUUUUACAUUCUACCAUAGGCUAUGUUCACACAUUGUAAAAUGAAUAGCAAAACACCUCCAUAAAAAAAUAAUAAAUAAAAUAUAGUCACAUCAAAAAAUAUAUAAACAAAGUGCACACCACAAAGAAAGUACAAGCAUAAUAAUACUUUAUUAAUUAGUCAUAUUAAAAUGUGGUGUGACAAAAUAUAUACUAUGUGCUCAAUAAAGGUCUAUUAAAGAAUGGCUGUUGCUGCACACACUGACAAAAAAUUUUCAGUAAUUUCAGUGUUAAAAAUUCUGUAAGUUUAUUGUGUUAUAUCAAUUUUUAUUGCAAUUAUUUCAGAAAAAUAAACGAUAAGGCACAAUGUAAGGCAAAACAAGACACUUACUGUGUGUUGUAAUGUUGAUCGUCAUCUAGCAGUAUACUUCUCAGAAGAUGUC